AUUGAACGCUGGCGGCAGGCCUAACACAUGCAAGUCGAGCGGAUGAAGAGAGCUUGCUCUCUGAUUUAGCGGCGGACGGGUGAGUAAUGCCUAGGAAUCUGCCUGGUAGUGGGGGAUAACGUUCCGAAAGGAACGCUAAUACCGCGUACGUCCUACGGGAGAAAGCAGGGGACCUUCGGGCCUUGCGCUAUCAGAUGAGCCUAGGUCGGAUUAGCUAGUUGGUGAGGUAAUGGCUCACCAAGGCGACGAUCCGUAACUGGUCUGAGAGGAUGAUCAGUCACACUGGAACUGAGACACGGUCCAGACUCCUACGGGAGGCAGCAGUGGGGAAUAUUGGACAAUGGGCGAAAGCCUGAUCCAGCCAUGCCGCGUGUGUGAAGAAGGUCUUCGGAUUGUAAAGCACUUUAAGUUGGGAGGAAGGGCGUUUGGCUAAUAUCCAGGCGUUUUGACGUUACCAACAGAAUAAGCACCGGCUAACUUCGUGCCAGCAGCCGCCGUAA
rnacentral:rRNA from 1 species